rnacentral:rRNA from 1 species
AGGACGAACGCUGGCGGCGUGCUUAACACAUGCAAGUCGAGCGGAAAGGCCCUUCGGGGUACUCGAGCGGCGAACGGGUGAGUAACACGUGAGUAACCUGCCCUAGGCUUUGGGAUAACCCUCGGAAACGGGGGCUAAUACCGAACAUUCAUUUCCGGCGGCAUCGUUGGUUGUGGAAAGUUUUUCGGCCUUGGGGAUGGGCUCGCGGCCUAUCAGCUUGUUGGUGGGGUGAUGGCCUACCAAGGCGACGACGGGUAG